rnacentral:rRNA from 1 species
GCUACGGGUGGCAGCAGUGAGGAAUAUUGGUCAAUGGCCGGGAGGCUGAACCAGCCAAGUCGCGUGAGGGAAGACGGCCCUACGGGUUGUAAACCUCUUUUGUCAGGGAGCAAGGUGCAGGUCGGGACCUGCUGUGAGAGUACCUGAAGAAAAAGCAUCGGCUAACACCGUGCAAGCAGCCGCGGUAAUACGGAGGAUGCGAGCGUGACCCGGUUUUCUGGGGUUUAAAGGGUGCGCAGGCGGAGGCACAAGUCAGCGGUAAAAUCGCGGAGCUCAACCCCGCUCCGCCGUUGAAACUGUGUCCCUUGAGUGCGCGAAGGGUAGGCGGAAUGCGGGGUGGAGCGGUGAAAUGCAUAGAUAUCACGCAGAACUCCGAUCGCGAAGGCAGCCUACCGGCGCGCAACUGACGCUCAUGCACGAAAGCGUGGGUAUCGAACAGGAUUAGAUACCCGGGUAGUC